AUGGAGCUACCGCCGGGCCUCCUGUGGCCUCACGGGCCCUGCGCGUGUGGCUGUGGCUGCAGCGCGCUGCACACCAAAGGAGACAAAGCUUUUGUUGAUUUCCUGAGUGAUGAAAUUAAGGAAGAAAGAAAAAUCCAGAGGCAUAAAACCCUCCCUAAGAUGUCUGGAGGUUGGGAGCUGGAACUGAAUGGGACAGAAGCUAAAUUAGUGCGGAAAGUUGCCACGGGAAAAAUCACUGUCACUUUCAACAUUAACAACAGCAUCCCACCGACAUUUGAUGGUGAGAAGGAAACCUCGCAAGGGCAGAAGGUUGAAGAACAGCAGCCUGAAUUGACAUCAACUCCCAAUUUCAUGGUUGAAGUUACAAAGAAUGAUGGCAAGAAGGCCCUUGUGCUGGACUGUCAUUAUCCAGAAGAUGAGGUUGGACAAGAGGAUCAGGCUGAGAGUGACGUCUUCUCUAUCAGGGAAGUUAGCUUUCAGUCCACAGCGACUCUGAAUGGAAGGUUACUAAUUAUACACUCAACACAGAGUCCCUGAACUGGGCCUUAUAUGACCACCCAAUGGAUUUCCUUGUGGACCGAGGGCUAGACAAUACUUCUGCAGAUGAGUUGGUGGAGCUCAGCACAGCCCUGGAGCACCAGGGGUACAUUACUUUUCUUGAAGACCUCAAAAGUUUUGUCAAGAGCCAGUAGAGCAGACAGACACUGGAAGUCAUAGUUUUAUGGCAGGCUUUGGCCAUUGAACAAAUCCGACUCUGAAGCUGGACACAUACUUUGAAAUGAUUAUCAUCCUAAUAUCGUGGGGAAAAAAUACCAAAUUUAAAUGAUAUGUUUUACACUCUCAUUUAUUACCAUUUUUUCUAUACAAAUCUAUUAUUUGUAGAUUUUUGUAUAACAUAAUAGACAAUAAAAUUGGUUUAUCUCCUC